GGUGCCGCAUAUGGCGCGUCCAGCGUCCUCAGCCAAGAAGCACGCGAUGGUGCUGAAGAACGUCUCCAGCUGUUCAACUGGCCAAGCGUUAUGUGUUGAAGCCGCUGGAAGUUGGCUCCGUGAGAUCAAAGACCAAUCGUGCGUAAUGCGAGCAGCAGCACCUGUUCAUGGGCAUGGGCGACACGAAGCCGAACGAGCAGGGCAAGUGGAGACCGAGGCGUUCCUUAUAGCAAUUAGUGCCAGUUAACUCGCCGCAUUGCCAAGCUCAGAUGGAUCAUCCGCCUCCCGUGCUACAAGACCCAGGUCCGCCUCACGGUCAACAGGCGGCGCCGGAAUGCUGGAUCCCCAUCAUGGCACCCUUUCACCGUCCUAGCUUUUGAUCAGGACCAACCGGCAAUGAGUGACCAAAGUUGCUUUGUUUAUUUUCUCUCACAAGCUGCACAUCACAUCCUGAUGUCUUCAGUUCCAAGCUUCAACUUAAUUCUGUAAUAAUUAUCUAACACUAAUCUGCAUGCCCACCAUUUGCUAUGUACCACUUCUAUAUGAGAUAAAAUAAUUUGGUAUUGAGGAUCUCAUUUUUCCUUGGAAGCUACUUCGAACCAGUAAGCCACUAUAUAUUGCUGGUACUUCUCUCUGAUGUUUCCUUCGGUGGGAUGUUACUCCAAUCAGUAAGUUGAACAAAAACUAUGCAUAUUGUAUUUAAUAAACCUUGGGCCUUAGCCCUUUGCUGAGAACAUGCAAUAUCUAUUUAAGUUGUUUACAUCUUGAUUUACAAACCAGUUCGGUUUUAUGAGUUAUGGACUUAUGUCAAUUCAAUAGUUGUAGGUGAUAAACUGAUAACCCUUAUAUUGUUACACACAUAUCUGCAGGCUAAUUUUUUUAAUCAAGUUUGUUGAUCUUUUGAGGCUGUUUGGCUAGCUGAUUAUGCUCUAGGUGUAACUAGAGUAUCUCCAGUCCCGGAAAAUCCAUUGGUAUAUACCAUUAGUAUGUUGCUAUUUCAGUUUCCGAACGCAAUUUGAAAAGACCCAGUGCAUGCAAAUGGAAGAUGACGACUUCUUAAAGGGGUAAAUCUGAAACUACCCAUUCUAUACAGGAUUUCUGUACAAAUAUAUGACUAAAGAUGAUCUCCAUGUUUUAAAGUUGAUUUUAUCAUAUGUUGCUAUUUCGU